AUGAACGCUGGCGGCGUGCCUAAUACAUGCAGGUCGAGCGCACAGACGAGGAGCUUGCUCCUCUGACGUUAGCGGCGGACGGGUGAGUAACACGUGGAUAACCUACCUAUAAGACUGGGAUAACUUCGGGAAACCGGAGCUAAUACCGGAUAAUAUAUUGAACCGCAUGGUUCAAUAGUGAAAGACGGUUUUGCUGUCACUUAUAGAUGGAUCCGCGCCGCAUUAGCUAGUUGGUAAGGUAACGGCUUACCAAGGCAACGAUGCGUAGCCGACCUGAGAGGGUGAUCGGCCACACUGGAACUGAGACACGGUCCAGACUCCUACGGGAGGCAGCAGUAGGGAAUCUUCCGCAAUGGGCGAAAGCCUGACGGAGCAACGCCGCGUGAGUGAUGAAGGUCUUCGGAUCGUAAAACUCUGUUAUUAGGGAAGAACAAAUGUGUAAGUAACUAUGCACGUCUUGACGGUACCUAAUCAGAAAGCCACGGCUAACUACGUG
rnacentral:rRNA from 1 species